rnacentral:rRNA from 1 species
AUGGCGUCCAGCCUCGCCGCCGCCCCUUCUCUGGCUCCGGCCCCGGUCAGGUUGGGCUGCUCCCUCCAGCUCCACCUCCUCCUCCGCCGCCCCGCCCUACUUGUCUUUCCCAAAGUCGGACGCCCCCACCUCCGACUCCGACUCAGAGCCCAAGCCUCCCCUUCCCCCUCUCCUGAAGCCGAAGCCGGCGACUCCUUCGCCGGCUGGUCGGACAAGCAGGAUGCUGAUUCUGAUUCAGGAGGCCUUGUUGGACCUGCCCUUGCUGGCCUCCUCUUCCUCGCCGGCAUCACAUUCGCCGCUAUCUCACUCAGACCCACAGGAUCAAAGGCACCCAUCCAAACCUUUUUGCCCACACACACCGAGACAAAGGCUGAUACUACUCCUGAACAACAACAACAAGACGACGACGACGACGACGACGCUGCUGCUGCUGCUCAGGCUUUGUCACCAGCCGAUGAUAUCCUGGAUGCCACCAGUGAGGCAACACCGUUGCCUAAUAAUCUACAAACACACGAGACAAUACCCGAGGCCGAGGGAGCACCUCAACAUGACAUGGACAACAACUACCAAUUGGAUCUGGAUCGCAGCAGCAGUGACCUAGAUCCGACAACUCAUAAAUACAUUGCUUCACAAGAUGACACUCAAACUCCUCCUGUGUCUCAUUCACCUCAAUCUUUGCUCCCUGCUUAUGAUCCAACCUCUCAGGAGGCAACUCCUGACCCACAGGCCGAGGCAUUGUUAUUGGACUCUCAACCCAGUUUGCCAGAAAACCAGGAUACUUUCACUUCAGAUAUUAUGGUGCUGGAAUCUGGUGAUGUUGUGCAAAUAUCCGACACUCUGGCUGAGCCUACACAUUUACAAGACACUGAGCAGAAUACUCAACUUUCAACUCAAGAUGGAAUUUCUUCUGCAUCCACUUUUCCUGAUUAUGUACCAUAUGGAAGCACUGACCAGAUGCUUCCAUCGGGCUCAAAUGACUUACCCACUCAAGAUGCUAACCCAGCAAAGGCGAUACAAGACCCAGCAUCAGACCAGGAUGAAGGCCAAAAUGAGUCAGAUAACCAAAAUGAACUGUUCAAGCCUGCAGCACCUGCCACAUCUUUCUCUUCCGGAAUUCCUGCCCCCUCUCUGCUCUCUGCAGCCUUACAGGUGCCUGCUGGCCAGAUUGUGGUUCCAGCGGCAGUUGACCCUACCCAGGGAAAUGCAUUGGCCGCGCUGCAAGUUCUAAAGGUGAUUGAGCCUGACGCUCGAGCUGGUGAUUUGUGUACCCGACGUGAAUACGCUCGAUGGUUGGUAGUUGCAAGCAAUGCCCUUUCGAGGAACACUUACUCAAAAGUUUAUCCAGCAAUGUACAUUGAUAACGUGUCUGAACUUGCAUUUGAUGACGUCACCACUGAAGAUCCUGAUUUUCCAUUUAUACAAGGAUUGGCAGAAGCAGGGUUAAUUUCUAGCAAGCUCUCAAGAUCCGAUAUGGACGUUGCUGAAAACGUUGAGAACAACCAUUACUUUUUCUCCGCGGAUAGUCCCUUGUCACGUCAAGACCUUGUGAGUUGGAAGAUGGCUUUGGAUAAAAGGCAACUACCUGAAGUUGACAAAAACUCUUUGUACAAGACAUCCGGCUACAUAGACAUUGAUAAAAUUGACACAGCUGCAUGGCCUGCAUUGGUAGCUGACUUGGGUGCUGGAGACCAGAGCAUCACAGCUCUUGCAUUCGGUUUUACAAGGCUUUUCCAGCCAGACAAACCUGUGACAAAAGGACAAGCUGCCCUAGCACUUUCAACUGGUGACUAUGCUGAAGUGGUUAUGGAGGAGCUUGCUCGUAUUGAAGCAGAUAAAAUAGCUGAAGCGGCUGUGAAUGCUCAUGGUGCGUUGGUAGCUGAGGUUGAGAAACAAAUCAAUUCAAGUUUUGAAAGAGAGCUUACGAGGGAAAGAGAAAAAAUUGAGACCCUUGAAAAACUGGCUGAAGAAGCUAGGUUUGAAUUGGACAAGUUGAGAGCAGAAAGAGAGGAAGAAAAGAAUGCUCUGCUUAGGGGCAGAGCUACCGUUGAAUCCGAAAUACAAGUUCUUUCAAAGUUGAGGUGUGAAGUAGAGGAGCAGCUGCAGAAUGUGCUGAGCAAGAAGGUUGAGAUCAACUUUGAGAAGAACAGAAUUGAGAAACUUCAAAAGGAAAUUGAAAAUGAAAACCAGGCUGCUGUGCAACUUCAGUAUGAGCUUGAAGUUGAAAGGAAGGCUUUGUCUAUGGCCAGGGCUUGGGCAGAAGAUGAAGCAAAGAAGGCCAGGGAGCAUGCUCGCGCCCUUGAGGAGGCCCGGAACCAGUGGGAGCGGCAGGGAAUCAAAGUUGUCGUCGAGGCAGGGCUUGAGGAGGAUGCAUCGGCCGGGGUGACAUGGGCUAAUGCUGGCAAAGAACACCCAGUUGACGAGGCAAUCAACCGGGCGGAGUCGUUGCUGGAGAAGCUCAAGUCGUUUGGUGGUGAGAUGAAAGUCCGAUCCAGCCAUGCCCUGGAGAGAGUAAUGCAGUACGUGAGGUCCUUGAUCUCAAGCCUAAAGCAGCGAGCGGCGGAAGCAAGGCAAGGGUGCGCAGAUCUUGGGGCUGCUGCAGCCUCAAAGGCAAAGAAUGUGUCAUCAGAAGCCAAGGCGUUUGGUUCAAGCGUCGGGGACAGGUCGAAGAAGGUAGCGGAGGAGUGCAAAGAUGGCCUGGAGAAGUUUGUGCACAGAUUCAAGGCAGACUAG